rnacentral:rRNA from 1 species
AGAAUCAACGCUGGCGGCGUGCCUAACACAUGCAAGUCGAACGAGAAAGUGGAGCAAUCCAUGAGUGAAGUGGCGCACGGGUGAGUAACACGUGACUAACCUACCCUUGAGUGGGGGAUAACCUAGAGAAAUCUGGGCUAAUACCGCAUAAUACCUUCGGGUCAAAGGAGCAAUUCGCUUAAGGAGGGGUCGCGGCCGAUUAGUUAGUUGGCGGGGUAAUGGCCCACCAAGACUGUGAUCGGUA